rnacentral:tRNA from 2 species
GGGCCGGUAGCUCAACGGUAGAGCAAGUGACUCUUAAUCACUAGGUUCAGGGUUCGAAUCCCUGCCGGCUCACCA